rnacentral:rRNA from 1 species
AGCGCAGGCGGAUAGGUCAGUCUAAAGUGGAAUCCCGGGGCUCAACCUCGGAACUGCUUCGGAUACUGCCUGUCUUGAGUUCGUGAGAGGAAAGCGGAAUUCAGGGUGUAGCGGUGAAAUGCUUAGACAUCCUGAGGAACACCAAUGGCGAAGGCAGCUUUCUGGCGCGAUACUGACGCUGAGGCUCGAAAGCGUGGGGAGCGAACG